rnacentral:rRNA from 1 species
AUUGAACGCUGGCGGCAGGCUUAACACAUGCAAGUCGAGCGGGGUGAUGGUGCUUGCACUAUCACUUAGCGGCGGACGGGUGAGUAAUGCUUAGGAAUCUGCCUAUUAGUGGGGGACAACAUCUCGAAAGGGAUGCUAAUACCGCAUACGUCCUACGGGAGAAAGCAGGGGAUCACUUGUGACCUUGCGCUAAUAGAUGAGCCUAAGUCGGAUUAGCUAGUUGGUGGGGUAAAGGCCUACCAAGGCGACGAUCUGUAGCGGGUCUGAGAGGAUGAUCCGCCACACUGGGACUGGGACACGGCCCAGACUCCUACGGGAGGCAGCAGUGGGGAAUAUUGGACAAUGGGGGGAACCCUGAGCCAGCCAUGCCGCGUGUGUGAAGAAGGCCUUAUGGUUGUAAAGCACUUUAAGCGAGGAGGUGGCUCUUUUGGUUAAUUCCCAAGAUGAGUGGACGUUACUCGCAGAAUAAGCACCGGCUAACUCUGUGCCAGCCGCCGCGGUAACAC